rnacentral:rRNA from 1 species
GAUGAACGCUGGCGGCGUGCUUAACACAUGCAAGUCGAACGGAAAGGCUCCUGCUUGCAGGGGUACUCGAGUGGCGAACGGGUGAGUAACACGUGGGUGAUCUGCCCUGUACUUCGGGAUAAGCUUGGGAAACUGGGUCUAAUACCGGAUAGGACAACUUCUUGGAUAUUGUUGUGGAAAGCUUUUGCGGUAUGUGAUGAGGUCGCGGCCUAUCAGCUUGUUGGUGGGGUAAUGGCCUACCAGGGCGUCGACGGGUAGCCGGCCUGAGAGGGUGUACGGCCGCUUUAGACCUCUAAGACGGCCCAGAGUCGGGCGUGAUGGAGCAAGGGGGAAUAUUGGACAAAGGGAGAAAGCCUGGUGGAACGACGCCGCGUGGUUGAAGAAGGCCUUUGGGUUGUAAGCACCGUUCGAUAGUGAUGAAGCGUUUUUGUGACGGUACCUAGAGAAUAAGCACCGGCUAACUACGUG